rnacentral:rRNA from 1 species
UGGGGAAUAUUGCACAAUGGGCGCAAGCCUGAUGCAGCCAUGCCGCGUGUGUGAAGAAGGCCUUCGGGUUGUAAAGCACUUUCAGCGAGGAGGAAGGUGGUGAACUUAAUACGUUCAUCAAUUGACGUUACUCGCAGAAGAAGCACCGGCUAACUCCGUGCCAGCAGCCGCGGUAAUACGGAGGGUGCAAGCGUUAAUCGGAAUUACUGGGCGUAAAGCGCACGCAGGCGGUUUGUUAAGUCAGAUGUGAAAUCCCCGGGCUCAACCUGGGAACUGCAUUUGAAACUGGCAAGCUAGAGUCUCGUAGAGGGGGGUAGAAUUCCAGGUGUAGCGGUGAAAUGCGUAGAGAUCUGGAGGAAUACCGGUGGCGAAGGCGGCCCCCCUGGACGAAGACUGACGCUCAGGUGCGAAAGCGUGGGGCAGCAAACAGGAUUAGAUACCCUGGUAGUCCACGCUGUAAACGAUGUCGAUUUGGAGGUUGUGCCCUUGAGGCGUGG